rnacentral:rRNA from 1 species
GAUGAACGCUGGCGGCGUGCCUAAUACAUGCGAGUCGAGCGAACAGAUAAGGAGCUUGCUCCUUUGACGUUAGCGGCGGACGGGUGAGUAACACGUGGGUAACCUACCUAUAAGACUGGGAUAACUUCGGGAAACCGGAGCUAAUACCGGAUAACAUUUGGAACCGCAUGGUUCUAAAGUGAAAGAUGGUUUUGCUAUCACUUAUAGAUGGACCCGCGCCGUAUUAGCUAGUUGGUAAGGUAACGGCUUACCAAGGCGACGAUACGUAGCCGACCUGAGAGGGUGAUCGGCCACACUGGAACUGAGACACGGUCCAGACUCCUACGGGAGGCAGCAGUAGGGAAUCUUCCGCAAUGGGCGAAAGCCUGACGGAGCAACGCCGCGUGAGUGAUGAAGGGUUUCGGCUCGUAAAACUCUGUUAUUAGGGAAGAACAAAUGUGUAAGUAACUGUGCACGUCUUGACGGUACCUAAUCAGAAAGCCACGGCUAACUACGUG